GAUGAACGCUAGCUACAGGCUUAACACAUGCAAGUCGAGGGGCAGCAUGGUCUUAGCUUGCUAAGGCUGAUGGCGACCGGCGCACGGGUGAGUAACACGUAUCCAACCUGCCGUCUACUCUUGGCCAGCCUUCUGAAAGGAAGAUUAAUCCAGGAUGGCAUCAUGAGUUCACAUGUCCGCAUGAUUAAAGGUAUUUUCCGGUAGACGAUGGGGAUGCGUUCCAUUAGAUAGUAGGCGGGGUAACGGCCCACCUAGUCAACGAUGGAUAGGGGUUCUGAGAGGAAGGUCCCCCACAUUGGAACUGAGACACGGUCCAAACUCCUACGGGAGGCAGCAGUGAGGAAUAUUGGUCAAUGGGCGAUGGCCUGAACCAGCCAGGUAGCGUGAAGGAUGACUGCCCUAUGGGUUGUAAACUUCUUUUAUAAAGGAAUAAAGUCGGGUAUGCAUACCCGUUUGCAUGUACUUUAUGAACAAGGAUCGGCUAACUCCGUGC
rnacentral:rRNA from 1 species